rnacentral:ncRNA from 1 species
GAAGUAGGAUUAGAAGGGCGUCCGGUUUGGUAACGAACCGGAGAAUCACUGGGUGAAUUGCUGGAACUUCCUAAAGCCCGUCCUACCACAGCGAAGCUGGAAACGGCAAGCGUGACGGUGUGAAAAAGGCCGGGAUGCACCAAUGGAUGAUCAGCAGCCAAGCCCCUGUCUCGAAAGAGUGGGGAAGGUUCAACGACUAGGACAUACCACCUAAAGCCGUUGCUAUGGUGAUGAAGUCCGUAAGGUGCAAAUUGCACCUGAAGUGCCCAGCCCCGACCAGACCCUUUUGAGGGUGCUGAGGGUGAAGAGAUAGUCUAUUCUGUCGCCGAAAGGCACAG